UAGUGCCACAUUUUUCGCCCGGAGACCGGUUAAUUGCGAAAUCUCUCUUCUUAGAACAUCGUUCUUAGUUUGAAUCUGAAUCUAAUCUUGUGGGGCUUUCACUAUAACGGAGCAUAUUUACUCGAUUAAUAUACCAUUUGUUUCUUAUGUUAAAAAAAGGUAAAUGCUUUAAAUUGGUUGUAUUUCUGAAAAUAUGAAAAAUAAUAAUAAGAAUCAAUUUUUGUUCAGUGUCCGUUGUUUUGAUUUACUUUGUGGCGUUUUAACUUUAAGAUAAUCUGGAGUUUUCAGUUGUAUUGAUGAAAUACCUAACGAACACAAGAAUAUAAGACUGAAUAAUUGUAAAAAAACAAGUGGAAUGAAAAUGUACCCUGACGUUUUAUUAAGGCAUCUUGGAAAGAGUAGAAAAAGAAUUCACAUGGAGACACGUUCUGUCGGAAGAAGGGCACUUGCGUAUCUGUUUUCCUUUUCGGUAGCGAUAAUGGUAUUCUGAUGCCUCUGGAACCGAAGAUGAAACUUGCAGAACUUUUUAUAUCCAUUGCAGUAGAAAUAAAUAUAUAUAUAUAAACUCGGCACUUAUUCUAGAUCAUGAUUUAGUUAUUUUUAGAAUUAUGAGUAACAUUUAUAAAAUUAUUCAUUGCUAACUUUGAUCACAUGGCAUUUUUCUCCACGUCUAUUCUCGAUAUUUUGUGUGUACAAUUACAUAAUUGAGGGCCAAGAAAUUCUUCGUUCGCACCAAGAUGUCUUAUCACGUUGCUAUGUAAACAAAGAAGUCACGUGAACACCUCAUUGAGUUCCUCUGGUAUUUCCCGACGCACUUUUAUUGUUCAUUAGACUCAGGGACGUAUUUUCACGUGCAGUUUUUUCCCAUGUGUGUUUUGCCUAUAAACACGUGAGACUCUGGCUUGCAAAGUGUCUUUAAUUCAAUAAAUUAAUGCAAAAUACUACGCUGCCAUCUUAUUCCCUGGAAUAUUGCAGAUUAGCACCUCACCUUGGCAUUUUUCUGAAAACGAUUAUGCAAAAAAAUGUUAAGAAAUUUUAAACCCCUCCUCCAACAUUUUAAAAUGUAUUGCGUAUUGAAGUGUGGAAAUUUUAUUGAAGUAGGUAUGUAAAGUACACUUUCUCUGUUCAUUGGACUAGACUGUGGAAAUUGUUUCUGUAUUGUUAAAGUCCCCGUAUUUUCCACGUUACAUACCUGCUUUAAUGAAAUUUUCACACUUUGAUAUAUAACAAAACAUUUAAAUUGUAGGCAAUGGUGGGGUAGGUUGAGGGGGAAUGUAAAAUUUUGAUUUUUUUUUUUUGCAUAUUCGUAAUCUCCAACGUGUACUAUUUAAGAGUGGUCCCGGUGCGCGUAGUCGCGCACCCGCGCUAGCUGGUCGUGACUAGUCGAUCCUACAACGACUACCUAGUAAAGUAAAUAAAACACGAAAUAAAUAAUUUUUUAAAACAAAGUAAAUAAAACAAAAACACAAAGUAAGGAUCGACUAAUCACGACUAGCUAGCGCGCACCGGGACCACUCUUCUUAAAUAGUACCCCGACAUGUAAACCCUAGGAAUCCGAAUAAGCUUUUCCAGAAAAAGUGAGUUGCGAAUCUGCAUUAGCCCCGUAUUCCUUGUGGGAAGGUGGCAAAGCCGUUGAUUACGGAACUGAAUUUACUAGUUUCUUAAAGAAUUUCACUUUCCAGGAAAACUUUUACACUCCCUGCCCACGUAGUUUAUAUAAUUGGUUACAGUAUAUCGAUUAACAGUUCUACUGUGAGACCAAGUUUUAAAGGCACCAUUCACGACCAGGUACUGUGUUAUUGUUUUUUCCAGUGUCUCUUAGACUCUUCCAGUGUGCCUACAGCCAAAUCUUGAGCAGUUUGUCCAGGGACCUAAUUCUGAUCUGUCUACGCUGCCAAGACGGUCCUGCCUACAGCACUUUCUCUUACCGAAUUCUAUGGUGCUUGAACAAAAGUUUUGUAAACGCAAUAACACUUCGUAAACUUAAUUUUAACAUAAACAUUCUGUUUAUUCCCUAGAAAAACGCCGACGCCGUGGAGAUCUCAUUCUUGCUCACAAAAGGCGGAAAGUGUAACCUCUCGAAAGAGCUGUUCUUCACUCCUGCUCCAGAGCGUAGGCUGCGGGGUCAUUCCGAAAAGCUCUAUCUGCGACGAUUUCAUCUCAAUCGAAGGAGCGGGGCUUUCUCCGUCCGGGUUGCGGAUCCGUGGAAUAAGAUGCCAGGCGAGAUAGUGAAGAUGCCAACGACCACUCAGUUCAAAGUCUCCCUUGACCUCAAGUGGCCUGAACUCUUUACAUGAACACCACCCUGUACAUAACUCCAUGUCCCCCUACAUGGCCUUGCUUUUUGCUUUUUGAGCCAGAAAAUUAACUAACUAACAACCUAUAGAAUUUUCUCAAUAAAGCCAAGAAAAAAUGAUGUUUUAUAAACACAUUCUACCAGUAUACAAAGUUUAAAAGUGUUUGGUUAACUAGAAAUUGUGUUGACAUGUGCCGUUCAAAAGGAAAAGAUCCAAUACUGUUAUUAUUCAUAACCAAAAUAUUACUUCCUCUGUCUCAAAAAAAUAAAAUUAAUUCAUAGAAAAAUGAUUUUACAUUCUACCACGACUGAAUAUAAAGUUGACUGAAGGUGCAGAUAGAUGCAUACAUGCUGUGUAUCUGUCUACUUAUCAACAUUUGCCCCUUUAACUCUACUUUUCCGAAUAUUGAUAUAAAUGUGGUUGCAAUUUAAUCAUUUUUCUCUGAGACUCUUUCUCGAUUUAGAUGCAAAUCACAGGAAAUGGGAAACAAAGAAACAGGUACAACAGGCUGUGAAGUAGGGCAGCGAGAUGGCAGAAUCGGUAGCAGGCCAGGCGAAAUGCUUAGCCGUAUCUUGUCUGCCGUUACAUUGUGAGUUCAAAUUCUGC
rnacentral:lncRNA from 1 species